rnacentral:rRNA from 2 species
UGGGGAAUAUUGCACAAUGGAGGGGACUCUGAUGCAGCGACGCCGCGUGAACGAAGAAGGCUUUCGAGUCGUAAAGUUCUUUUAUAUGGGAAGAUAAUGACGGUACCAUAAGAAAAAGCCCCGGCUAACUACGUGCCAGCAGCCGCGGUAAUACGUAGGGGGCUAGCGUUGUCCGGAAUCACUGGGCGUAAAGGGUUCGCAGGCGGAAAUGCAAGUCAGGUGUAAAAGGCAGUAGCUUAACUACUGUAAGCAUUUGAAACUGCAUAUCUUGAGAAGAGUAGAGGUAAGUGGAAUUUUUAGUGUAGCGGUGAAAUGCGUAGAUAUUAAAAAGAAUACCGGUGGCGAAGGCGACUUACUGGGCUCAUUCUGACGCUGAGGAACGAAAGCGUGGGUAGCAAACAGG